CCUACGGGAGGCAGCAGUGAGGAAUAUUGGUCAAUGGACGGAAGUCUGACCCAGCAAUGCCGCGUGCAGGAAGACGGCUCUAUGAUUUGUAAACUUCUUUUGUACAAAGGUAAACCUGAAUACGUGUAUUCAGCUGAACGUACUCUACCAAUAAGUAUCGGCUAACUCUGUGCCAGCAGCCGCGGUAAUACGGAGGAUCCAAGCGUUAUGCGGAGUUAUUGUGUUUAAAGGGUGCGUAGGUGGAUUGAUAAGUUAGAGGUGAAAUGGCCGAGCUUAACUCGGGAACUGCCUCUAAUACUGUUGAUCUAGAGAGUAGAUGAGGAAGGCGGAAUGGAUGGUGUAGCGGUGAAAUGCUUAGAGAUCAUACAGAACACCGAUUGCGAAGGCAGCUUACCAAUCUAUAUCUGACGUUGAGGCACGAAAGCGUGGGGAGCAAACAGGAUUAGAUACCCCAGUAGUC
rnacentral:rRNA from 1 species